rnacentral:rRNA from 2 species
AUGGUUAAGUUAGAAAGGGCGCACGGUGAAUGCCUUGGCACUAGGAGCCGAUGAAGGACGGGACUAACACCGAUAUGCUUCGGGGAGCUGUAAGUGAGCUUUGAUCCGGAGAUUUCCGAAUGGGGAAACCCACUGUUCGUAAUGGAACAGUAUCUUUAUCUGAAUACAUAGGAUAUUGAAGGCAGACCCGGGGAACUGAAACAUCUAAGUACCCGGAGGAAGAGAAAGCAAAUGCGAUUUCCUGAGUAGCGGCGAGCGAAACGGAAUUAGCCCAAACCAAGAGGCUUGCCUCUUGGGGUUGUAGGACACUCUAUACGGAGUUACAAAGGAACGAAGUAAAUGAAGCGACCUGGAAAGGUCCGUCAAAGAAGGUAACAACCCUGUAGUUGAAACUUCGUUCCCUCUUGAGUGGAUCCUGAGUACGGCGGAACACGUGAAAUUCCGUCGGAAGCUGGGAGGACCAUCUCCCAAGGCUAAAUACUACCUAGUGACCGAUAGUGAACCAGUACCGUGAGGGAAAGGUGAAAAGCACCCCGGAAGGGGAGUGAAAGAGAUCCUGAAACCGUGUGCCUACAAGUAGUCAGAGCCCGUUAAUGGGUGAUGGCGUGCCUUUUGUAGAAUGAACCGGCGAGUUACGAUCCCAUGCAAGGUUAAGCUGAUAAGGCGGAGCCGUAGCGAAAGCGAGUCUGAAUAGGGCGUUUAGUAUGUGGUUGUAGACCCGAAACCAGGUGAUCUACCCAUGUCCAGGGUGAAGUUCAGGUAACACUGAAUGGAGGCCCGAACCCACGCACGUUGAAAAGUGCGGGGAUGAGGUGUGGGUAGCGGAGAAAUUCCAAUCGAACCUGGAGAUAGCUGGUUCUCUCCGAAAUAGCUUUAGGGCUAGCCUCAUGUUGUGAGAGUCUUGGAGGUAGAGCACUGAUUGGACUAGGGGCCCCCAACGGGUUACCGAAUUCAGUCAAACUCCGAAUGCCAAAGACUUAUCCAUGGGAGUCAGACUGCGAGUGAUAAGAUCCGUAGUCAAAAGGGAAACAGCCCAGACCACCAGCUAAGGUCCCCAAGUAUACGUUAAGUGGAAAAGGAUGUGGAGUUGCUUAGACAACCAGGAUGUUGGCUUAGAAGCAGCCACCAUUUAAAGAGUGCGUAAUAGCUCACUGGUCGAGUGACUCUGCGCCGAAAAUGUACCGGGGCUAAACGUAUCACCGAAGCUGUGGAUUGACAUCUUAGAUGUCAGUGGUAGGAGAGCGUUCUAAGUGCUGUGAAGUCAGACCGUAAGGACUGGUGGAGCGCUUAGAAGUGAGAAUGCCGGUAUGAGUAGCGAAAGACAAGUGAGAAUCUUGUCCACCGAAUGCCUAAGGUUUCCUGAGGAAGGCUCGUCCGCUCAGGGUUAGUCGGGACCUAAGCCGAGGCUGAAAAGCGUAGGCGAUGGCCAACAGGUUGAUAUUCCUGUACCACCUCCCCGCCGUUUGAGUAAUGGGGGGACGCAGUAGGAUAGGGUAAGCGCGCUGCUGGAUAUGCGCGUUCAAGCAGUUAGGCUGAUGAGUAGGCAAAUCCGCUCAUCAUAAAGGCUGAGCUGUGAUGACGAGGGAAUUAUAGUACCGAAGUUCCUGAUUCCACACUGCCAAGAAAAGCCUCUAGCGAGGCGGGAGGUGCCCGUACCGCAAACCGACACAGGUAGGCGAGGAGAGAAUCCUAAGGUGAUCGAGAGAACUCUCGUUAAGGAACUCGGCAAAAUGACCCCGUAACUUCGGGAGAAGGGGUGCUCUGGUAGGGUGUAUAGCCCGAGAGAGCCGCAGUGAAUAGGCCCAGGCGACUGUUUAGCAAAAACACAGGUCUCUGCGAAGCCGCAAGGCGAAGUAUAGGGGCUGACGCCUGCCCGGUGCUGGAAGGUUAAGAGGAGGGGUUAUCCUUUGGGAGAAGCUCUGAAUCGAAGCCCCAGUAAACGGCGGCCGUAACUAUAACGGUCCUAAGGUAGCGAAAUUCCUUGUCGGGUAAGUUCCGACCCGCACGAAAGGCGUAACGAUCUGGGCACUGUCUCAACGAGAGACUCGGUGAAAUUAUAGUACCUGUGAAGAUGCAGGUUACCCGCGACAGGACGGAAAGACCCCGUGGAGCUUUACUGUAGCCUGAUAUUGAAUUUUGGUACAGCUUGUACAGGAUAGGUAGGAGCCUGAGAAGCCGGAGCGCUAGCUUCGGUGGAGGCGUCGGUGGGAUACUACCCUGGCUGUAUUGAAAUUCUAACCCGCGGCCCUGAUCGGGCCGGGAGACAGUGUCAGGUGGGCAGUUUGACUGGGGCGGUCGCCUCCUAAAAUGUAACGGAGGCGCCCAAAGGUUCCCUCAGAAUGGUUGGAAAUCAUUCGUAGAGUGUAAAGGCACAAGGGAGCUUGACUGCGAGACCUACAAGUCGAGCAGGGACGAAAGUCGGGCUUAGUGAUCCGGUGGUUCCGCAUGGAAGGGCCAUCGCUCAACGGAUAAAAGCUACCCCGGGGAUAACAGGCUUAUCUCCCCCAAGAGUCCACAUCGACGGGGAGGUUUGGCACCUCGAUGUCGGCUCAUCGCAUCCUGGGGCUGUAGUCGGUCCCAAGGGUUGGGCUGUUCGCCCAUUAAAGCGGUACGCGAGCUGGGUUCAGAACGUCGUGAGACAGUUCGGUCCCUAUCCGUCGUGGGCGUAGGAAAUUUGAGAGGAGCUGUCCUUAGUACGAGAGGACCGGGAUGGACACACCGCUGGUGUACCAGUUGUCUUGCCAAAGGCAUCGCUGGGUAGCUAUGUGUGGACGGGAUAAGUGCUGAAAGCAUCUAAGCAUGAAGCCCCCCUCAAGAUGAGAUUUCCCAUAGCGCAAGCUAGUAAGAUCCCUGAAAGAUGAUCAGGUUGAUAGGUCAGAGGUGGAAGCGUGGCGACAUGUGUAGCUGACUGAUACUAAUCGAUCGAGGACUUAACCAAAC